rnacentral:pre_miRNA from 1 species
CGGGCGGUGCGGUGCUGUGGGUGCUGGGAGGGCUCUGUGCGGCUCUGUGCGGCUCUGUGCGGCUCUGGGCCCACCCGAGCUCUGUCCCUGCAGAAAUAUUACCCGCCGGACUUCGAU